CUUUGCAUUCAGUGUGUGACCUCCUACCUCUAUAAGAUAGUGUGCAAGAUGAGUACCAAGCCUUUGCUUCCCCUUAACUUUUCUAGAAGUAACACACAUGCACGUCCUCACACACACACACAUACACUCACAAUUUGUGUAGAAUUAUUUUUCACUCUGAUUUCUGCCUGUGGAACAGAUUGAAGAUUUUACCAUCCAAAACCCACAAAGAGAAAACUCCUACUGUGGUCUUCAGAAUUUCCAUUCAGCUGAUUUGCCUGCCAAGUCCAGUGACCAGUACCGCCGCUCCUGAUGGUGGGGAGCAUAUGGUACUGCUGUGAAUAGUUUUGCUCUCACUGCUGUGAAAUCCCACGCCUUCCUACAGAAUGUGUUUGGAGGAGCAAAUGUUCCAACCAAAGAGAGCAGUUUCAAACAGCCUGUGAAAUCCAAGUAGAUUUCUACCAUACAGAAGUCUAUUUCCUGAUGGAUUCUCUACCCUUUUUCCUGAAUGAUGGACAAAGAGUGAUACGUGUUAUGGAUGGAAGAUAGUGGCCAGCUCAGGAUUGAGUGUCUUCAGAAAUUAUGUCCAAAUGAAUCAUGGACUGAACCCAUUUUGUUAUACUAAAAUUUCCUUUGUGCACUAGAGGUCAUAAAAAUGUUUCACUGCCAAAUCUAGACCACUUUAUCCUCCAAUGAAAUUAUGAUUUCUAAAGCACAAAAUCUAAGAAAAACUCACAUUGGGUAGCAAGCAAGGCCAGCCAGUUCAUCAAUAGCCAGGCAUAAAAGUCUACAUGUUUCAUUUUGCCAAUAAGCUUGUCUGCUUCAUCUGGUGCCAACAACUCAAUCCUCUGAACAUCACAUAUUGAAUAAAGGAACCUUUUCAAAUCUACGGAAUACUUCAGUUCUCAUCUUUCUAAUGUAUCAUCUGAUACAAGGGUUCAUUCUAUCCUUCUAGAGUUAAUAAAUGAUUACUGUACCAAGUCUGAUAUUCUGGAGGUGCUGAAGUAAAAACUGCCCCAAACGUCCCCUCAGGACAGUGGUUAUUUUUUAAAACAAAUUUACUGUGUAUCCUGGAGUUUCUAGAAGUUCACUUAUGCAGAAAACUGAAUACAACAUUCACCACUGAGGUUUUAACUUUCCAUUCUUUG
rnacentral:lncRNA from 1 species